rnacentral:rRNA from 1 species
UUUGGUAGCCAUAGAGGAGAGGGUACACCCGACCCCAUUCCGAACUCGGAAGUUAAGCUCUCCAUCGCCGAUGAUACUGCAUAACGUCAUGUGGGAAAGUAGG